GCCCGGGUGGCCGAGCGGUCUAGGCAUCUGUCGCGAACGCAGAGAACGCUGGUUCGAUUCCAGCCCCGGGUA